rnacentral:rRNA from 1 species
UACGGAGGGAGCUAGCGUUGUUCGGAUUUACUGGGCGUAAAGCGCGCGUAGGCGGAUUGAUUAGUCAGAGGUGAAAUCCCAGGGCUCAACCCUGGAACUGCCUUUGAUACUGUCAGUCUAGAGACCGAGAGAGGUGAGUGGAAUUUCCAGUGUAGAGGUGAAAUUCGUAGAUAUUGGAAAGAACACCAGUGGCGAAGGCGGCUCACUGGCUCGGUACUGACGCUGAGGUGCGAAAGCGUGGGGAGCAAACAGGAUUAGAAACCCUAGUAGUCC